UACGGAGGGUGCGAGCGUUGUCCGGAAUCACUGGGCGUAAAGGGCGCGUAGGCGGCCUGAUAAGUAGGGGGUGAAAUCCUGCGGCUUAACCGCAGGGCUGCCUUCUAAACUGUCAGGCUAGAGCACGGUAGAGGCAGAUGGAAUUCCCGGUGUAGCGGUGGAAUGCGUAGAGAUCGGGAAGAACACUCGUGGCGAAGGCGGCCAGCUAGACCAGUUCUGACACUGAGGCGCGACAGCGUGGGGAGCAAACAGG
rnacentral:rRNA from 1 species